UUCUGUUCUAUGGUAGAUAUAAGAAGCUUAAAUUGAAAAGAAUCUCCACAAAUAUAAGUAUGAGUAGGGGAAUUCCACACACACACAUUGAUUACCGAAAAGAACAACUAGAUAGCGGAUAUUAGAUCGGAUGAUGCUUAGCGUGUGUGAGGAAGAAUGGAAAAAUAAAUGAGAGUCAUGGUGGGGGUGGAUAACUUGGUUAUCUCCUUUGUCGAGGAGAAUUGAAAUGUCAUUUGACAAGUGAAAACCAAAGGUGACCGUUCAGGUUACAACAUCGAGGAAUAACCAUGUUCCUGAUGUAGAAAAAUAAAGAGAUUUAAAGAUUUGAUCUUUGUUGCGUUUUUUUUGUGAAGUUCAGACAGAGGGAAUGAUUUUCAAAUAAAUGAUGGAUUAAAUACUGGAAUAUCCCAAUUCUCAAUGACUGUGAAAGGCGGUCCCGGUUACCUGUGAAGUACUGGGACCGCCACACCGUAAAACUUCAUGCUGGAAAAGCCCACCAAUGUUUCAGCCACAGAUCCAAGAAAAUUUUCAAUAGAUGUCAGAAUUAGGGGAUAACACGUUAUUGAUUCGAUUAUGGUGAAGCCCAAAAGAAACGAAAUCACGAGCUGCCUUAAAGAACCCCAACUAUGAAGAGUUGAACGCGAGCUAUCAGGGUGUCUUAGAAAAAGGCAUUGAAAGUAUUCUGUAAGCCAGACGGCG